ensembl:lncRNA
AUAUGAAUACUUCUUAAAAUAGCUAGGUUUAGCUGUCAAUAAGCUCAUCAAAACACUGCCGAGGGACGUUUUUGCAGUUUUCUCAAGCUCAGCGUAGCCAACAUUUUGCCCUCUGUAAACUCAACUGCCUCCAUGAACUCAGCCAUGGCGUGGCGUUGUUUUGAAUCACUUAUGUUCAGACAGAAUUUUUAUAUAUACUAGCUAUAUUAACGCGGAUCAGGAAGACGUCCCACUGUGUAUGUCUUCACGGGGCUGAACAACCAAUUAAAAAAUUAGGAAAGAAGGACAACUAUUUUCCAUCUUCCAUUUCCAUUUUUUACACAUUUCAUUUUGGGGGAAGUUAUUAGGCGCGGCUUCACUCAUAUAGGAAGAGAUAAGAGGACUGCCCAUUAACAAUAUCAAGAAAUAGCCUAACUUCACAUUUACCGAGCGGAUAGCAAAAACUAACUUGGACCCCGGACGUUUUUAGGGAAUUUAAAACAACUGCUGCUUAUCGACAGCGCCCUCGUAAACAAAUUGGGCGUCGGUCCAGCAAAUCUAAACGGGUUUUCUGUUGGACACCGGCUUGACAGAUAAGCCCAAGGUGUACCAGGGUGUGCGUGUGAAGACCACUGUUAAGGAGUUACUGCAGAAGCACAGAGCCCUGCAGGCACAGAAAACCGCAACGAAAUCACAAGCCAUGGCUGCUCGCGAUGUCUGCUCUACGACCAUGAAUACCCACCUUGAUGUCUUUGGAAUGCAAGCUCCAGAGCCCUAUUUCCAGACACGUCCCUUUACCGAAAAUGUCAAUAUCCCGAUGGAGAAUGCUUAUGAUCAUCAACAAAUGAUGCACCUGAUGCCACAUGAGACUUUCAGCGGCAGUAAUUUCGUGUGUCCCACUUCUUCGCAGUGGUCUAAUGGAUAUAUUCCUUCUAACACGGACCUCUAUGGUACUAGCCUGGUAUCGAGAUCACCCUCUGAUACUUUCAAUCUCCCAAGUCCAGUCGACUACAACAGUUACUCUCCCCCUCAGUCCAACUCUUCAUCUUCUUCGUGCUACAGCUCUCCAACGCGGAUGGAUUUGAGCUCUAGUUUCUCUCCAGAAAAUUACCACUAUCAGCAUUGCAACCUACAGAAUUGCUUUUGUCUUUCGCAUUGGUCCAAUCUGCAGGAAGGCAUGGCAACCUCGGAGUUUGCGCCCUACGGCUCUUCAGACUGUUUGUAUUCAUAUGGCGACGACAGUUAUUUCAGAAGGGAUACUUCAAACUCAGAGAUGUGUUUCUUAUAAAAUGCAUUUUGAAGCUCUUUGCGCGAAAAUUCAGUGUCAUAAUUGAUUUAUUUGAAUGCAUUUGUUGUAUUUUAGAUUAGAUAAAAGAACAAGCAGUGAUAGAAUGCAUGAUUUACAAAUUAUUCAUUUAUCUUUUCUACAAUAAACAUAUUUUUUUCGUAAUUAUACUGGCAUUGGGGAAAUAUUUCAGAUUUACAGCGUGCAGUUUCUGUUUUCACUCUUGAAAUGUACAUCGGAGCUUCGAUAGUUUUUUUUUUUUUUACGUACAAAUACAGCUGUGGUACUGAGGGCUCAUUUAUUGUUUUGUAUAUCAACAUUCGACAUUAUGAAAAAUACCAGAAGAAAGCUUAACAAUGUGUUAUUUAUAAAAACAGAUUUUGUCCUGUAACUACAGCUGUUAACAUUUUUAUUUGCUCCUAACAAAUACACUGUAAAUGUCAACUCACACCGAAAACAUAAGUUUAAUCGUCUUCAUUAUUGUAAAGUAAAAACAAAGCAUGCAUUGCACUUUUUCAACCACUUUACUGAUUAAAUAUAAAGCUCACAAAAUUAGUUCAUUUGCAGAAGUUGUUUCUUAUAAGAAUAUUUGAUGAUUUAAGAUUUAUCUCACACCACAAACUGAUCAUGGAACAAGAAGUCAUUUUCACACACUUUCACCAAAAGAUAAAAUGGAAUGAAAGUCGCAGCCCCGUUUACUGAAGUUCAGAAGAAGCUAAAUUAAAAAAAAGACAACAUGAAUCCCACAAACUGCAUUUAAUGUAGCGAUAUCUCAAGAGCUUAACAAUUCCACAUGUAUAAAAUGGUAAACUGCUCAGGGACAAUCGUAUCAUAUAUAAAACAUGAUUUCUAAACGAUAAGCAGUAUAGGGCCUAUACACACUCAAAGGCUAUUCACUUUAAGUUUUCCAAAAAUAUAAAAUAGAAAUCAAUUCAUGCUUGGAUAUCUGUUUUUAAACAUGUCGAGACAUCAAUAUGUGUCUUUAACUUUGGAACAUGGCACGACUUAAUCAGUAAACGGUCACGCAAUGGUGUAUUCAUUAACUAUAGAAAUCGGGAAUGUUUUGCAGUCAAACAGAAGGGUGUGUACAGUGAUCCAGAAUUGGCAGACGCACACGCUUUGUACCCGCUGCUCACCAACUUGGAAUUCCCCUCGGGAAAGCAAAGGACAAGGAAGUCUUCCUUUAGCCACACGUUGACUUCUUUUUUACUUGAACUGCUUUCCCUCCCACUUCUGCACAACGUGAUGUCUGAUCGCGGAACUGAUCCCAGCACACACGUCUUCGUCUGACAAAAUAAAUAAAUAAAAUAAUAACAAACAAGGUUAUUGUUAUUUUUCUCAUAGAGUGCAGUCCAGCAAUAUAAUUUCCAUCAGACUUUAAGCACGCGGAUGGACUAGUCCGGGAAGCUCCAGUUCAAACUGGUUACGUUUUUGUAGGGAAACGAAAAGGAUUUCUGACUUUUUCACCUCAG